AGAAAGGUAAUGAUCAAAAUUUAGAGGAUCCAAAUGUAAGAUUGAAAUGGUUCGUGGCAAGUGUUGCUUGUGGUGGUGGACUGGUGAGUUCGGCAUAUGCACGUUUAACUUCAAUUUUACCCUGUUUAUACGGUUUGAAGGGAAACUUGGUGUUGAGAUUUGAUAGAAAUUAUGAAUUAUAUUUAAAUAUUUUCUCUUAAGAUUCUAAAUCAAACUCUUAGCACAACGCCUAAACACUUAAUUUAAUAGGGAAUGCCAAUGAGUGUCCCAAAGACACUCUUUUAUAUGAAAGAUUUAAAAGGAGACUCAACAUAUUCUUUCAAUGACGUUAAAUUGCCCUUAUGGAAUUCCACUAUCGCCCACUUUGAUUGUUUAUUUUUUUGCUGGUACUUUUUUCCUUCUAAUUACUUUUCUCGAUGUUUAUUGUUUCCCCAGUUUUCUAUUUGUCGAGACAUGCUUUUUUCCUUCGACUAUACAUGAAGAGAAAAACAAAGGGUAAAUUAGGUUGGUGGGGGUUAUGAUCAAAUUGAUUGGAUAAGUUUGAGGUUAUUUCGCAGGAAUGUUGAUCAGGGUCAUAUGAUGAUAGAGAGCAUGUUUUGGAGCUGUCAAAUAAAUGGGUUUGUCUUCAAUGAUUGGAAGGAGCAAGUGUGAACAAUAUUCGUGGAUCCCAAUUUACUAUGAGAUUUAAAGACUCCGAAAGUUUUUUGACACUAAUGCAGAGGGCAAAUACGUAGAACUUUUACGGAAGUUAUUUAUCUGUAGAGAAAGGGACUUUAAGCUUUCAAUUGAUAAAAG
rnacentral:lncRNA from 1 species